UUGGAGCUAAAACAUUUGUCCAAGCAUUUCAAGGACAAGAGCAAAAUUGUGGAAGGUGGAUCGAAAUUAUGUGAAGAAACAAACAUCAAGAUUACAGAAAGAAGUGCCAAUAACAUUAGCUAUGAGUAAUAGAAUAGAAGAUGAGAUUGCAGUAACUGGAGAAGGCAUUAGUGGUGGGCUCAGUGUGCUACGGUCAGAGCAAGGAAGGAGGGGGCGCGGCUGGACACUGCGCUUCUACUCCUGUGGCCUAAGCUUGUGUUGCCUUCUGGUAGUGGCUUCCUGACCCUGCUAGUUUAUGUGCAGGCAAAGCCACUGCUGAUAAAGAAAAUAUAGUCAAUGAAGACAAUCUAUGGUGGUGAGAUGUACACAUUUUUGGAACAACUUUUUUAUUUUUAUUUAAAACAAGCAAACAAAAACAAACACCAGUCACAUCAAAAGCAGUUCUGUGCAUUUUGCACUGGGAGGAAAAACAUCCCAAUCCCAAAUAUAAUUUUCUAAAACUUACUCUUCAUGAAAGCUUUAAGAUGUUCCUUUCUCAAGACAACAAAACAAAACAAAACAAAACAUUAAAGCUUCACUAAGACUAAAUACCGCAAACUACCAGGAGAAAUGCAAGUGUCAAGUUGAAGAAAGCACCUUAAGGAAAUUUGUGAAUGUGAAGCAACUAAUUACUGUUUCCCUCUGGGCAAAGUUUAUAAUAGCACAGAAAAAAGUGGCCAAAUGUUAUGUGGAAAUGCUUAUGAAUAACUCAGGACUUCACAGACUCUGUGACCUUAGGAAUGCAUUACCACCUGUGAUGUAUGCCUCUGGGACAAAUGCCUUGUGGUCAGGUGUGGGCAGAUAAGUGCUGGGAAGACAGUCCCUCAUGUGCACAGCCCAAGAAUUGCCCAGAAUUGUGUGGCCUAAAAUCUUAUUAUCUAUACUUUUGUUGAAGUUUGCUAAGAAUUUUGAUUGCCAAGAAUCUUCCUUUAAGUACUCCAGGAGGAACUUUUCAUUGACACUAUUGAUAGGGAACAGCCUAGCACACUGGUGCUCUACCAUGAAUGCACAUUUUGAAUCUCCUGCGGAGCUAUACAGAAAAGUCCAGCGGGCAUCUAGACUUCCUCCUCAAGAUUUCUGAUUAAACUGGGCAUUCCUAGUAAGUCUCGGGAGAAGCCUGGACAAGGACGGUUUUUGAAAGCCAAACGGGAUGGGGCUGUUGAAAAGCAGAGUAUCAUAGGAUCAGUUCCUCUGGAAUAACUUAUGAACAACGUUUUGCUUUCUCCAGCAUUGAUGUGAUUUUAAAAUCAGGGUUAGUGUUACACCAGCUGAAGCAAGAGAAUAUUAAUAUUGUGGCCACAUGAGGGACCCCCAUGUCACAAUUCUCUGCUGACUACCGCAUAUGACAAUAAUUCGCCUUCCUAAAUGCUCUGCAUUCUCUAUUUUCACAACCACCGGUGAGACAAGGGAUAUCAGAUUGGUUUCAUUUGUCAUGUCAUCCCUAAUAGAUGGGUGGUGAUUGCCUGAGUGCUGUGUUGCAAAACAAUCAGAGGUUGUAUCUGACAACAGCAGUAAAAGCUACCUGAUCAAUUAGUGAUGUCUGCCAUGAGUGCUUGGAAUGAGGAAUGGCAAUGCACAGGACAGGCUUUGCUAGCUUUGCAUAACUCAACAGAAGCAGAGAGUUGUCUGCAGAUGACCUUAUGUAUCUCCACAUGUAUAUUACAGAAGAGUGCCCUCUCCCAUCAGAAUAGUAGGAUGUAUUAGGUUUACUUAUAUAACUAGUCAAUACCUUAGGAGGUCUUUUAAGCUUAGUAUUAGAAACUUUUUUUUUUUGCUUUUUGUUUUCUCUGCCUUUCAUAAAACACAAUGGGCAUAGAAAGCACUGAUUGUAAGAGGCUUACAGUUUCACUAGAGAAAGUGUAUGUGCAAUCAACAACUAAUAAGCACAGUAUUAUUUAUUGUGACAGAAUUGUGUGCUGAUAUAAUAAAGAUGAUAAAGGGAGUAAAUUCUUAAUGAUGUGGUCUGAGGAACAAACACUAAUUCUAUAGUCCACCAGAUACUGCUUUGACCAAGCGGAUAUUAGAGGCAAAUGGGUGAAUUCACAUUCUGAGCAGAGCUGGUUUCUCUCACAAAUAAUCACAACACAACACGCGCAACCUAACACAGCACAGCAUGAGUCUCAUCACCAUAUUAUUCUUUAAUCAAUUCAGUGAUAAUUUGUCCAACUUCUCAUUAACUUUCUUUUCUCAUAGGCAAGUAUUCCAGCUUAUUAGCUUUAUAUAAAGAACAAGGAUCUAGACAUCCAACAGACCUUUCAGACCUCAGCUCUGCCACUUAACUUUCUGGCCUCCAGAAAGUCUCUGAUGCCUACAAAUCCCUGUUGCCACAUACAAGGUAGAUAUAACAAAACUUCCCUUGCAGGAAUAUUUUAAGAUUUAAGAAGAUAUGUCAACAAUCUGGUGCUUAAUAGGGUUUCAUUAAAUGGCAAGAUAUUAUUUCCUGAAUUAUAAAAUGACAUUGAUUUUAAGAUGCGCUCUUGAAUUAAUAGAAAGUUUCCAGGGGGGAAAAACAUCCCUUCAUUAUAACGUACAUCUCAUUGUAAUGUGAGUCUGAAUUUUAUAGACUAUAACAUGUGAAGUGCGUGUGAGCCUAGCAGCAGCGAUAUGUUGCCAGAACCAGCAUGUACAGCCAGAACAAGCAUAUGAACAGCAGCAAAUGUUCCUCCAGAGCCUACCAUGUGCCAGGAACUGCCAUCAAACAUUUAAUUCUCACAGGAACCCAACCAGGUUGGUCCUAUUAGCCACCACAUGUUACAGACAAGGCCACUGAGGCACUACUAUGAGAGUAAAUUGGCUAAGCCCUCAUAGCCAGAAAGUGACAGAGCCUGAAUUUCAGCCGGGCGUCCUGGCACUCAAAGCCAUGCCCUCAGCACCGUGCUGGGCUCCCCAGGGCUGGCUGCCAGAAGGUGUCUGGACCUGUUAGUGGAGGAACCCUGAGGACUGGCAGGGAGGGGGCAUCAAAGCAGAAUCAAGAUGGAAGCUGACUCACCAUUGAGAGAGGCUGCCUGUAGGCCAAGGGAAGUACCUACAAGGCAGCUGGACACUGAGACUGGAAGCCCAGGGAGUCAGAAGAUGGAAGGCAGGAGUGAGGCACGUGAGGAAAAGCAGUUCUGGGAAAACACAGGAAACCAGCCACAUGUGCAGGUCAUGGGGUCUGAUGCUUUCUGUCAAGAGAACCUGAAGCAGUGUUAAGGUGUGCUUCCCCUGGAGUUGAACUUUCCAAAUCAAUGUGGCAGCUGAUGGAAGAAAGGCAGUGUCUGAGCUUUAGAAGCCUGAGGAUGUGAAGAAAGCAGAAAACUGUAUACCUGUCCCUGGCACAAUAUCUCAGCCCUCCACAAACUCAGAUAAUACUACCUGGACCAUACUGAAGAGAGCAUGUAAGAUCUAGAAAAAGACUGACUUCUAUGCGUCGUUUUCAGUAGUCUAGUGGUAAGCUCAAGCCUCCUGUGCUCAUGAGUAGAGCACAGAAGUUAACAGAUAUAUC
rnacentral:lncRNA from 10 species